rnacentral:lncRNA from 1 species
AUGCAGCGCUCGCCACCGCGGGCACCCAGCGGCAAAAAUGGGUCCAGUGGGUCCUUGGCUGUGAUGGGCGAGGGACUGGGACCACCCGGCACUGCAUCACCACGACCUGUCCCAGAGCUGGGCCUGAGCCCCCACCACAGCCCCCCCGGGUUGGAGGCUGAACGCCUUCUUCCCCAGUGCGAUGUUGGGUGCGAUAAACGCCCGGUGCGCCGGGACCGUGCGGCAUCGCGCCCGGAGCCACGCAGCGCUCGGGGCUGCUGGAUCGAGGAAAUCACAGCCCUCGCUCGGUGUGUGCCCGGCACAGCCUCGGCAGCCCCCUGGGAGAUGCAGAAGUUGCAGCUGCUGCUUCGGGGAGAUGCAAACGCCACCGCCACAGCCCCGCAAACGCCCCCGUUACAGCCCCGCACAGCCACUGCAGCGGGAACGGGGGUACCGGGACCCCCAGGGAGCAGGGCGGGCUCCGUGGCAUUAAAUCCAGCAUUAAAUCCAGCAGGGUGCCCAGCACCGAGCAGCCAGGCCCUGGGACUUUUUCACGAGGAAAGGGGAAGGCAGGGCAGGCAGCCUGCAUCCCUCCCUGCCUGCUUCCCACACCCCGAGGAGCCGUGCGGUGCCACCAUCGCUCCGCACACAGGGAAAGCCCCGUUCCGGGACCCGGCAUGCACAGCAUCGCCCUACAGCCGCCACCCCAAAAGCCACCCGGGUCCCUCGGGUGUCCCCAUAACCAAACCACAGAACGGGGAGCACAGGGCAUGGGGAACCUGCUCGAGGCUGGCUCCGGCAUUGGGGUUCCCCUGGCUGCACAGAGGAUGGGAGUGCCACAGCCCUGACCCCUUCCCCCUGCCCAAAUCCCUCUCCUGGGAGCGGGGCUGGAAAAUCCUCCUGGAUGGGGAGCCGGGAACCAGAGAGGGGAUGGGAAACGUUGGGAUCGGGGGGUCUCAGCCCCACAGGGGGGGCAGCACCGGGGCAGGGCUGGAUCUUUGCAGGGUCGGGGCCAAACCCCACAAGUUUCUCUCCCCCUCCAGAAGCGGGGAGGGGGCACAGGUGGGAUUUUCCCCCUGGCCGCCCCUCGGGGCUGCUUCAAGGCGCGUUUCCCCAUGA